rnacentral:rRNA from 1 species
UACGUAGGGUGCAGGCGUUAAUCGGAAUUACUGGGCGUAAAGCGUGCGCAGGCGGUCUUUUAAGUCAGAUGUGAAAUCCCCGGGCUUAACCUGGGAACUGCGUUUGAAACUGGAAGGCUAGAGUGUGGCAGAGGGGGGUGGAAUUCCCGGUGUAGCGGUGAAAUGCGUAGAUAUCGGGAGGGACACCGGUGGCGAAGGCGGCCCCCUGGUUGGAGUACUCGACGCUGAGAGCGAAAGCGUGGGGAAGCAAACAGGGAU